rnacentral:misc_RNA from 1 species
GUCUUCCUCCUCCCCUUCUGCUUUGCUCUGAUGUAAAACCAUUGCUGCACAAAUCACAGCUCUCAUUUACGGGAGCAUAUGGUGUCUCAGUCGUUCAUUUCAUUGCCACCGCUAAGAAUUUCCUCAACAAUUUGAUUUAUAGAAUUUUCCUUAUCCUUUACUCCAAUGGCGAUUGCUGUUUUGAGUUUAACAAGUUCACCUAAUCUCAAGGAUCCCUUUUUUUCAUCUUUGACAAAGAUCACUGGUACCUUCCUCGAUGAAGCCAAGCUUGGUAGAUGCUUCGUUAGCCAUUUUGGGUUGCAAUC